rnacentral:rRNA from 1 species
UACGGAGGGUGCGAGCGUUAAUCGGAAUUACUGGGCGUAAAGCGUGCGUAGGUGGUUUAUUAAGUCGGAUGUGAAAUCCCCGGGCUCAACCUGGGUGCUGCAUUCGAUACUGGUAGACUUGAAUACGGUAGAGGGGGGUGGAAUUCCAGGUGUAGCGGUGAAAUGCGUAGAGAUCUGGAGGAACACCAGUGGCGAAGGCGGCCCCCUGGACCGAUAUUGACGCUGAGGCACGAAAGCGUGGGGAGCAAACAGG